GGAAGUCUAAUGCAGAGGACUGUGGGUUAGGUAUUUAUUCACCCCUGACCACUUUGUCGCGAUUUGUAAUGAUUAGUCUGCUUUUACAGUACUUAUUACGCUAACAAGACUUGACCAGAGUUCCAGGAUUUUACGGGUGUAACAGUCCCUUCAGCUCCGCUGUCUGGUGAGAUAUGCGCUGAGCGGAGAGAGAGAGAGUGAGUGAUAGAGAGAGUGAGUGAUAUAGGAGAGUCCUAUGGCUCCAUUGCAGCUCGCGGUGUACUUGCGGCUCGCUCUCAUAUUCUUCUUCACGGCGUUUCUUUUCUUCCUCGAUGUCUUCACUGUCAGCAGAGCAGCCUCCUCGUGCGCUAACGUCCCCAGUCAGUUACCGACCAAGAGUCGAACCGGAGGAUAUGAAGUCUCUUCUAGUAGUGUGCGCAAACAGAACCGCACUCCCGGGGAGGUGCGCGAGAUGAACGUGUCACUUAUAUCGGUAUUGUUACCGACACAGGAUGAGAUCACGCGGGGGAACGACACGGAUAGAGAUAAUACUGUGUGCCACCCCCAAGACACCAGCCAAUCACAGCAGCUCCAGUGCCGGCAAAAGGUAUUGAUACACCUUGACUGGAUUUUCUCACCCAUCUACACACAAAACCCCAUGGUGAAAAAGUGAAAACAAGUUUUUAGAAAUGUUUGCAAAUUUCUUGAAAAUUAAAUAGAGCAAUAUCUCAUUUACAUAAGUAUUCACACACCUGAGUCAAUACUUUGUAGAAGCACUUUUGGCAGCAAUUACAGCUGUGAGUCUUUCUGGGUAAGUAUCUAAGAGCUUUCCACACCGGGAUUGUGUAACAUUUGUCCAUUAUUCUUUUCAAAAUUCUUCAAGCUCUGUCAAAUUGGAUGUUGAGCAUCGCUAGACAACCAUUUCUAGGUCUUGUAACUUGGUCUCUCAGGAACAUUCACUGUAAUAUAUGCCAUUUAGCAGACACUUUUCUUAUUUGUAAUACCCUCUUUGGGCUAGGUGGGACGCUCGUGACCCACCUUGAUAACAUCUGAUGAAAUUGGAGAGCGCAAAAUUCAAAAUACAAAAAUCGUAAUAUUAAACAUUCAUGGAAACACAAGUGUCUUACAUCGUUUAAAAGCUUAACUUCUUGUUAAUCCAGCGACUUUGUCAGAUUUCAAAAAGGCUUAACGGCAAAAGCAGACCAUGUCAUUAUCUGAGGACAGCGCCGCGCGUACACCAGCAUUAAAAACGUUUUCCGAACCAGCAGAGGCGUCACAAAAAUCAGAAAUAGCGAUAAAAUAAAUCACUAACUUUUGAAGAUCUUUCUCUGUUUGCAAUCCCAAGGGUCCCAGCUACACAACAAAUGUUUGUUUUGUUUAAUAAAGUCCUUUAAAACCCACCAAAAGACAGUUUAUUUGGGGUAUUUGAAUUCAGUAAUCCACCCAUUCCACACGUUCAACAUGCAAACAAAGGAAUCUGAAAAGUUACCAAUAAACUUUGUCCAAACAAGUCAAACAAUGUUUCUAAUCAAUCCUCAGGUACCCUAAUACAGUGUAAAUAAUAUGUAAAUAAGAUGUAAAUAAUAUGUAAAUAAAUGAUAUAAUUUAAGACGGAAUCUAGCAUGUUCAAUACCAGAUAUUAAUAACGAGGUGCACGCCCUCAUCCACGCCCUCAUCCACGCCCUCAUCCACGCCCUCAUCCACGCCCUCAUCCACGAGCGCCACAAGACUACAGUCCAAAUGAGAGCCACCUUGAAAAACUACAACUACUAAUUACUUUUUCAACAAACAAGCCUGAAACCCUUUCUAAAGACUGUUGACAUCUAGUGGAAGCAAUGGGAACUGCAAUCUGGGAGGAAUUCCUCUGAAUAUCCCAUAGACAAGCAUUUGAAUGGACUGUGACCUAAAAACAAUAAUCUGGAUGGAUUUUCCCCGGGUUUUCAACUGCCAUAUCAGUUCUGUUAUACUUACAGACAUUAUUCAGAGUGAUUUCUGACCAAUGCUACCAAUUAUAUGCACAUCCUAGCUUCUGGGCCUGAGUAACAGGCAGUUAACUUUUGGCACAUCAGUCAUCCGAACUUCUGAAUACUGCCCCCUAGCCUUAAGAAGCAGUAUAGAUUUGAGCUGUUGUUUUAGGUUAUUCUCCUGCUGAAAGGUGAAUUCAUCUCCCAGUGUCUGUUGGACAGCAGACUGAACCAGGUUUUCUUUUAGAAUUUUUCCUGUGCUCUAUUCCAUUUUUUUUCUUCUGAAAAACUCACCAGUCUUUAACGAUUGCAAGGAUAUUCAUUACAUGAUGAAGUCUGAGUGGUCCUCCCCUAAACAUAACACUUUGUAUUCAGGACAUAAAGUGAAUUGCUUUGCCACAUUUUUUUGCAGUAUUACUUUAGUGCCUUGUUGCAAACAGGAUGCAUGUUUUGGAAUAGUUUUAUUAUGUACAGGCUUCCUUCUUUUCACUGUCAAUUAGGUUAGUGUUGUGAAGUUACUACUGUUCAUCCCUCCUCAGUUUUUUUCCAACACUGGCCAAUAAACACUGUAACUGUUUUAAAUCAUCAUUGGCCUCAUGGUGAAAUCCUUGAGUGUUUCCUUCCUCUCUGGCAACUGAGUUAGGAAUGACGCCUGUAUCUUUGUAGUGACUGGGUGCAUUGAUACACCAUCCAAAGUGUAAUUAAUAACUUCGUGCUCAAAGGGAUAUUCAAUGUCUGCUAUUUUUAUCUACCAAUGGGUGCCCUUAUUUGUGAGACGUUGGAAAAUGUCCCUGCUUUGUGUGGUUGAAUCCGUGUUUGAAAUGCACUGCUCGACUGAGGGACCUAACAGAUCAUUGUAUGUGUGGGGUACUGAGAUGUGGUAGGUAGCCUAGUGGUUUGAGCAUUGGAGCAGUAACCGAAAGGUUGCUGGAUUGAAUUCCCGAGCUGACAAAGUAAAAAUCUGUCGUUCUGCCCCUGAACAAGGCAGUUAACCCACAGUUCCCCGGUAGGCCAUCAUUGUAAAUAACAAUGUGCUCAGGAUCUAUCCCUUUUUUUCAAUUUUUGCCUGAAAUGACAUACCCAAAUCCAACUGCCUGUUGCUCAGCCCCUGAAGCAAGGAUGUGCAUAUUAUUGGUAUCAUUUGAAAGGAAACACUUUGAAGUUUGUGGAAAUGUGAAAAGAAUGUAGGAGAAUAAAAGCAAAAGCAGGAAACAGGAAAACACUCAUCCAGAGGUGGCGCUCCUAGUGGCCGGGGACUUUAAUGCAGGAAAACACUCAUCCAGAGGUGGCGCUCCUAGUAGCCGGGGACUUUAAUGCAGGAAAACACUCAUCCAGAGGUGGCGCUCCUAGUAGCCGGGGACUUUAAUGCAGGAAAACACUCAUCCAGAGGUGGCGCUCCUAGUAGCCGGGGACUUUAAUGCAGGAAAACACUCAUCCAGAGGUGGCGCUCCUAGUAGCCGGGGACUUUAAUGCAGGAAAACACUCAUCCAGAGGUGGCGCUCCUAGUAGCCGGGGACUUUAAUGCAGGAAAACACUCAUCCAGAGGUGGCGCUUAUAGUAGCCGGGGACUUUAAUGCAGGAAAACACUCAUCCAGAGGUGGCGCUUAUAGUAGCCGGGGACUUUAAUGCAGGAAAACACUCAUCCAGAGGUGGCGCUCCUAGUAGCCGGGGACUUUAAUGCAGGAAAACACUCAUCCAGAGGUGGCGCUCCUAGUAGCCGGGGACUUUAAUGCAGGAAAACACUCAUCCAGAGGUGGCGCUCCUAGUAGCCGGGGACUUUAAUGCAGGAAAACACUCAUCCAGAGGUGGCGCUCCUAGUAGCCGGGGACUUUAAUGCAGGAAAACACUCAUCCAGAGGUGGCGCUCCUAGUAGCCGGGGACUUUAAUGCAGGAAAACACUCAUCCAGAGGUGGCGCUCCUAGUAGCCGGGGACUUUAAUGCAGGAAAACACUCAUCCAGAGGUGGCGCUCCUAGUAGCCGGGGACUUUAAUGCAGGAAAACACUCAUCCAGAGGUGGCGCUCCUAGUAGCCGGGGACUUUAAUGCAGGAAAACACUCAUCCAGAGGUGGCGCUUAUAGUAGCCGGGGACUUUAAUGCAGGAAAACACUCAUCCAGAGGUGGCGCUCCUAGUAGCCGGGGACUUUAAUGCAGGAAAACACUCAUCCAGAGGUGGCGCUCCUAGUAGCCGGGGACUUUAAUGCAGGGAAACACUCAUCCAGAGGUGGCGCUCCUAGUGGCCGGGGACUUUAAUGCAGGGAAACACUCAUCCAGAGGUGGCGCUCCUAGUGGCCGGGGACUUUAAUGCAGGGAAACACUCAUCCAGAGGUGGCGCUCCUAGUGGCCGGGGACUUUAAUGCAGGGAAACACUCAUCCAGAGGUGGCGCUCCUAGUGGCCGGGGACUUUAAUGCAGGGAAACUUAAAUCUAGUUUAUCAAAUUUCUAUCAGCAUGUUAAAUGUGCAACCAGAGGAGAAAAAAAACCUCUGAACCACCUUAACUCCACACACAGAGUACGUACAAAGCUCUCCCUCGCCCUCCAUUUUGCAAAUCUGAUCAUAAUUAUAUCCUCCUGAUUUCUUCUUAAAUAAAUUAAAGCAGGAAGCACCAGUGACGAGAUCAAUAAAGAAAGUGGUCAGAGGAAGCAGAUGCUAAACUACAGGACUGUUUUGCGGGCAGACUGGAAUAUGUUCCAGGAUUCCUCCAAUGGCAUUGAGGAGUACACCACAUCAGUCAUUGACUUCAUCAAUAAGUGCAUCGAUGACGUCAUCCCCACAGUGACAGGACAUACCCCAACCAGAAGUCAUGGAUUACAGGCAACAUCCGCACUGAGCUAAAUGCUAGAGCUGCUGCUUUCAAGGAGCGGGACUCUAACCCGGGAAGCUUAUAAGAAAUCACACUAUGCCCUCCGACGAAUCAUCAAACAGGCAAAGGGUCACUACAGGACUAAGAUCGAAUCAUACUACACCAGCUCUGACUCUCAUCGGAUGUGGCAGGGCUUGCAAACCAUUACUACAAAGGGAAGCACAGCCGAGAGCUGCCCAGUGACACGAGUCUACCCGAUGAGCUAAACUACUUAUAUGCUCGCUUUGAGGCAAAUAACACUGAAACAUGCAUGAGAACACCAACUGUUGUGGAAGACUGUGUGAUCAUGCUCUCCUUAGCCGAUUUGAGUAAGACCUUUAUACAGGUCAACAUUCACAAGGCCACGGGGCCAGACGGAUUACCAGGAUGUGUACUGUGAGUAUGCGCUGAACAACUGGCAAGUGUCUUCAAUGGCAUUUUCAACCUCUCCGUGUCCGAGUCUGUAAUACCAACAUGUUUAAAGGAGACCACCAUAGAGCCUGUGACCAAGAACACUAAGGUAACCUGCCGAAAUGACUACCGACCAGUAUCACUCACGUCUGUAGCCAUGAAGUGCUUUUAAAGGCUGGUCAUGGAUCACAUCAACACCAUUAUACCAGAAACCUUAGACCCAAUCCAAUUUGCAUUCCGCCCCAACAGACCCACAGUUGAUGCAAUCUCUUUUGCACUCCACACUGUCCUUUCACAGCUGGACAAAAGGAACACCUAUGUGAGAAUGCUAUCUAUUGACUACAGCUCAGUGUUCAACACCAUAGCACCCUCAAAGCUCAUCACUAAGCUAAGGACCCUGGGACUAAACACUUCCCUCUGUAACUAGAUCCUAGACUUCCUGACGGGCAGCACCCAGGUGGUAAGGGUAGGUAACAGCACAUCUGCCACGCUGAUCCUCAACACAGGGGCCCCUCAGAGGUGCGUGCUCAAUCCCCUCUUGCACUCCCUGUUCACUCACGACUGCACGGCCAGGCACAACUCCAACACCAUCACUAAGUUUGCCAAUGACAACAGUGGUAGGCCUGAUCACCGACAAUGACGAGACAGCCUAUAGGGAGGAGGUCAGAGACCUGGCCGUGUGGUGCCAGGUAAAUAACCUCUCCAUCAAUGUGAUCAAGACAAAUUAGAUGUUUGUGGACUACAGGAAAAAGAGGACAAAGCACUUCCCCAUUCUCAUCGACGGGGCUGCAGUGGAGCAGGUUGAGAGGUUCAAGUUCCUUGGUGUCCACAACACCAACAAACUAACAUGGUCUAUGCACACCAAGACCGUCGUGAAGCCGGCACGACAAAACCUAUUCCCCCUCAGGAGACUAAAAAGAUUUGACAUGGGUCCUCAGAUCCUCAAAAGGUUCUACAGCUGUACCAUUGAGAGCAUCCUGAUUGGUUGCAUCUCUGCCUGGCAACUGCUCGGUACUGCAUGGAACUACAGAGGGUAGUGCAUACGGCCCAGUACAUCACUGGGGCCAAGCUUCCUGCCAUCCAGUACUUCUAUACCAGGCGGUUCAGAGGACUCCCAGGGCUACCAUGGCUUCCAGGGCUACCAUGGCUCCCAGGGCUACCAUGGCUCCCAGGGCUACCAUGGCUCCCAGGGCUACCAUGGCUACCAGGGCUACCUUGCUCACAGGGCUACCUUGGCUACCUUGGCUCCAAGGGCUAACUUGGCUACCUUGGCUCCCAGGGCUAACUUGCUACCAGGGCUACCAGGGCUACCAGGUCUAUCAGGACUCCCAUGACUAUCAGGGCUACCGCUCAAUUCAUGCCAUUUCGAUCUACAGUGUCCACAGAUCAAUUUAUAAGCUAAAAUGUCAGUCGGAACCGAUAUCAGAACCAUGCAAAUCUUAACCCUAAUUUGCUCCAGUGUGCCGUACACUGAGUACUACUAUGGCUGACCCUGAGUACUACAAUGGCUGACCCUGAGUACUACAAUGGCUUACCCUGAGUACUACUAUGGCUGAACUUGUAAAACAACACAUUUCAUUAUCAGGUAUGUGUGGCAAUAAAUAGUUAGUGUUGCAACUAGAUUACUAGAACAUUAUCUAGCACAAACAUCUGUGCGUGCAUGCGUGCGUGCGUGCGUGCGUGCAUGCGUGCGUGCGUGUGCGUUUGUGUUACAGGGCAAAGUGUGUUUGGAUCCAGUGGUGUUGGCGUACAGUCAGACCAUGUACAUGGCUGGCCUUCUGCUGGGAUCUCUCUUCGGAGGAUCUCUCUCUGACAGGUACGGUAAGCGAGUGGUACUGCUGGUGUGUGUGUGUGUCCAUGCUGUGACUGCUGUGCUGCCGGCAGUCCUUCCUCACGCCAUCCUCUUCCUCACUCUGCGCUGUCUGGCCGGGGUCUCCUGCUGCUGUAUCAAUAUCUGCAGCUUCAGCCUGGGUGUGGAAUGGAGUCUUCCCAGGUAUCGUAUUUGGCCCCCGGCCCUCCUGUCCUUCUCCUUCAGCCUGGGUAUGAUGGCGUUGGCACCGCUGGCGUACCUUACACACACCUGGACACAGCUACACCUGGCACUGGCCGUACCACAGAUCCUCUGUCUGCCUCUCUACUACUCCAUUCCUGAGUCUCCUCACUGGUUGCUCCUGAAGAAGAGGCUGGACACUCUGGAGGAGUACAGGAGACACAGUCCUGAGGACAAACGCUGUUUAGACCUGCUGUUGGAGACAGAGGGGAAGGACCUGCAACAAGUCCCCUGGGACACAGACACACUGGAGACUGGCACACACAUAGCAAAGGCAGACACGCAAACCCAGGAGGGAAACACACUUUCCCACUGCGGACACAUGAGAAGUCCCACCAUUCUACUGCGCCUGGUCAUCAUGAGUUACAUUGGGUGGGUCAGUCUGUGUUGUUUUGGCUCUGUACUCCAGUGUUACAGGUUUUUCCAUUUAUAUUUUGAGGUAGAGCGUUAUCACGUAGGGCGGACCAAUCGGUGUCACCUCGUUAGUAAGUAGGUGUUACACCUGUGCCGGCUUGUCCAUCUCAUUAGUGGGAGGUGUAUCACCUGUGCCAGGUUA